rnacentral:rRNA from 1 species
GACGAACGCUGGCGGCGUGCUUAACACAUGCAAGUCGAACGGUGAAGGGACUGGUUUUGCUGGUCCUGGAUGAGUGGCGAACGGGUGAGUAACACGUGAGUAACCUGCCCCCUUCUUCUGGAUAACCGCAUGAAAGUGUGGCUAAUACGGGAUAUUCUGGGUCUGUCGCAUGGUGGGCCUGGGAAAGAUUGCGCCUUUUUUGGUGUUUUUGGUGGGGGAUGGGCUCGCGGCCUAUCAGCUUGUUGGUGGGGUGAUGGCCUACCAAGGCGGUGACGGGUAGCCGGCCUGAGAGGGUGGACGGUCACACUGGGACUGAGACAUGGCCCAGACUCCUACGGGAGGCAGCAGUGGGGAAUAUUGCACAAUGGGCGCAAGCCUGAUGCAGCGACGCCGCGUGAGGGAUGGAGGCCUUCGGGUUGUGAACCUCUUUCGCCAGUGAAGCAGGCCUGCCUCUUUUUGUGGGUGGGUUGACGGUAGCUGGAUAAGAAGCGCCGGCUAACUACGUG